rnacentral:snoRNA from 1 species
AAGAGCCAUUGAUGAUUGAAAAAGACUGUCCACAUUGUUUGAUUCACCACUAAUAUGAAUUCUUUAAUUAGUCUGAGGCUCGU